CUUAGAAAGAUGGCUCUGCUAUCACUUAUCGAUGGGCCUUGCGGUGCAUUAACUAGUUGGCGAGGGUAAACGGGCUCACCAAGGUGAUGAUGCAUAGCCGACCUGAGAGGGUAAUCGGCCACAUUGGGACUGAGACACGGCCCAAACUCCUACGGGAGGCAGCAGUAGGGAAUCUUCCGCAAUGGACGCAAGUCUGACGGAGCAACGCCGCGUGAGUGAAGAAGGUUUUCGGAUCGUAAAACUCUGUUGUAAGAGAAGAACAAAUUGUAGAGUAACUGCUACAGUCUUGACGGUAUCUUACCAAGAAAGCCACGGCUAACUACGUGCCAGCAGCCGCGGUAAAU
rnacentral:rRNA from 1 species